rnacentral:rRNA from 1 species
GAUGAACGCUGGCGGCGUGCCUAAUACAUGCAAGUCGAGCGAACAGACGAGGAGCUUGCUCCUCUGACGUUAGCGGCGGACGGGUGAGUAACACGUGGAUAACCUACCUAUAAGACUGGGAUAACUUCGGGAAACCGGAGCUAAUACCGGAUAAUAUGUUGAAUCGCAUGGUUCAACAGUGAAAGACGGUCUUGCUAUCACUUAUAGAUGGAUCCGCGCCGCAUUAGCUAGUUGGUAAGGUAACGGCUUACCAAGGCAACGAUGCGUAGCCGACCUGAGAGGGUGAUCGGCCACACUGGAACUGAGACACGGUCCAGACUCCUACGGGAGGCAGCAGUAGGGAAUCUUCCGCAAUGGGCGAAAGCCUGACGGAGCAACGCCGCGUGAGUGAAGAAGGUCUUCGGAUCGUAAAACUCUGUUAUUAGGGAAGAACAAAUGUGUAAGUAACUAUGCACGUCUUGACGGUACCUAAUCAGAAAGCCACGGCUAACUACGUG